GACCCCUAUUUUAGAGUUGUUAAGGGAGAUAAAUAUGGGGGCAUAAUUUAUCUCUGCAGGAGAUACCAAAAAAUUUUACAUUAUUAUGUUAAUAUUCAGGUGAAGUGUUUAAUAGUAAGUUAAAAGAGGAAAAUAAAUGGUUUUAAGGAAGAUUGACCUGUAACUUUUUUGGGUUAAAUAAAAGUUUUAUUCUUGCUUAAAGAUUUAUUGGUUGAAUAUUUUACAUGAAAAUUUGUGUGUGACAUUAGAUUAAUCUAAAUGAUUUAGUGGUUUAAUCUCAGUAUUUGGUAUUAGUAAUCAAGGUCUCUUGGAAUUAGUAAUUGGAUGUAUGGUCGGCUAAAAUUGUGCCAGCAGCCGCGGUUAGACUUAGGAUUUAAAUAAAUGUUAUUGGUAUUGAAGUUAAUUGUUGGUUAGGUAUUAAAUUGUUUUAUAGAGGUGAAAUUUUGAAAAUAAAUUAUAUCUGAAAAUGUAAUGAAGCUUUGAAACUCAAGAUUUAAACUAGGAUUAGAUACCCUAUUAUUUUGAGUGUUAAGGUGAAUAUCAGAGUAGUAAGAGUUAAGUUCUUGAAACUCAAAGAAUUUGGCGGUGUUUUAGUCUUUUCAGAGGAAUCUGUUCUGUAAUCGAUAAUACACGUUAAAUGUAACUUAAUUUUGUAAAGUUCAGUUUGUAUACCGCCGUCAUAAGAUUAUCUUUUAAGAGAAAAAUUUUCUGGAUCUUUGGAAGAUUAAAGAUAGGAAAAGAGUAUGUCAGGUCAAGGUGCAGCUUAUAGUUAAGUAAGAGAUGGAUUACAAUAGAAGUUAUUUAAAUGGAUAGUGUGAUGAAAAUAUACUUGAAGGUGGAUUUGAAAGUAAUACUGUUAAAUUAUGAUAGUAUGAUUGUAGCUCUAAAACAUGUACACAUCGCCCGUCGCUCUCAUUAUAAGGUGAGAUAAGUCGUAACAAAGUAGAUGUACUGGAAAGUGUAUCUAGAAUGAA
rnacentral:rRNA from 1 species